UACGAAGGGGGGCUAGCGUUGCUCGGAAUCACUGGGCGUAAAGCGCACGUAGGCGGAUCUUUUAAGUCAGGGGUGAAAUCCCAAGGCUCAACCUUGGAACUGCCUUUGAUACUGGGGAUCUCGAGUCCGGAAGAGGUUGGUGGAACUGCGAGUGUAGAGGUGAAAUUCGUAGAUAUUCGCAAGAACACCAGUGGCGAAGGCGGCCAACUGGUCCGGUACUGACGCUGAGGUGCGAAAGCGUGGGGAGCGAACAGG
rnacentral:rRNA from 1 species